UAGUCAUAUGCUUGUCUCAAAGAUUAAGCCAUGCAUGUCUAAGUAUAAGCUUUUAUACGGUGAAACUGCGAAUGGCUCAUUAAAACAGUUAUAGUUUAUUUGAUGGUCUCUUUUACAUGGAUAACCAUGGUAAUUCUAUGGCUAAUACAUGCGCACUGGCCUCCUUCUCUGGAGGGGCUGUGUUUAUUAGAUACAAAACCAACCCACUUUGUGGAGUCGUGGUGAGUCAUAGUAACCGAACGGAUCGCAGUUGGCCUUUUCGGCCCGCGAUGGAUCUU
rnacentral:rRNA from 1 species